rnacentral:ncRNA from 1 species
UAUAAUUCUUUGAAAGGAAGAGUAAAUAUUACUAAGUAUGUAAAGCGAGUAGAGGAUGGUGGAAGCUCUAUGAGAAAAGUAGUAUUGAAAGACAUCCUGGAGAUAUUUACCUGAAAUGAAAAGUAGGGUAGAUCGGAUUCCUCCGUUAAAGGGAUUGAGAUGAUAAAGUAAAUAAUACUUAAUCAAAUUAGGAUGGUACCGUGAAUAUUGCUUUCGCUCCUAUU